rnacentral:rRNA from 1 species
CACGUAGGGGGCGAGCGUUGUCCGGAUUUAUUGGGCGUAAAGAGCUCGUAGGCGGUUUGGUAAGUUGGAUGUGAAAUCUCCAGGCUCAACUUGGAGGGGUCAUUCGAUACUGCCAUGACUAGAGUUCGGUAGGGGAGUGCGGAAUUCCUGGUGGAGCGGUGAAAUGCGCAGAUAUCAGGAGGAACACCCGUAGCGAAGGCGGGUCUCUGGGCCGUAACUGACGCUGAGGAGCGAAAGCGUGGGGAGCGAACAGG